GGACGCCUGGGGGGUCUGGUAAGGGGCAGCCUGCCCUUUUCCAGCCCAUAACGUCUGUUCAGACACUGAGCCUAGGGGGUUCAGUGCUUACAGACACCAGGUGCUGCUGCCCGCGCUGCCGUGUAGGUGGCCACGGCGGCCCGCUCCGCGGCCAUGAGCAACCCCUAGGGCCGUGAGGCGGCGGAACGCGACUCGCCUCACGUCUCACUGGAAAACACGGAACGUUCCGCUGCUGACCACGCCGGUGCUGGGCUGGGCUGGCCUCCAGAAGACUGGCAGCAGAGGAACCCUGCUAGCUCAGGCAGCCGCUGGUAGACGGCGGCGAGGUCCUGCCCGAGGAGGGCAGGGCACCGGGGCUGUCACCGGCGUGGUUACUGUCGUGCGCCCCUGUGUUAUUUACCCGGUGUACAAAAAACCAGUCGUCGCACAGAGUCGAGCACUACUGCUCCUUACAAUGGCGAAAAGCAGCAAGUGGGCUGGGAAGAAAUGUGGCAAAGCCGAAGGUUUGCCGGUUUCAAGAGAAGCCUCAGCCAUGCGCCGGCGGUGGGGCAGUUGUGCCUUGGCUCUACGGAGCGGUUCCGGCAGCGCACAGCAGCAGCACCCGCUGUGCCGUCUGCUCUGACCAUCUGUAACGAGGGUGGAUAGCGUAGCUGUGAUGGAGAACUUCCUUCGGACAGACAAGCCAUCUCCUACCUUUGCCAGUCUUUUUCAAAGCAAUGACAUAAGCCAGUCAAAAAAUAAACCUAAAAUAUGGAGGAACAGAGAACACUGAGGAAGAGAGCUGGAGAGCUAAAGCUGAAAAGCUGAAGAACUGGAGAUAGAGAAGUGGGAUGGAGCUCGAAACUAGUCUGUCAAAAAAAGGGGAAGAAAGAAAAACCCAAGUGAACAAAACCCGUGAGAAACGUCCUAACAUGUAGUGGUGGUGGAAUCUUUGUUUCACAGUUACUGUAAUUUUUAUACUGCAACACAAAAUGCCACAGGACGGAGAACUGGCAACUAAUUACAUUGUCAAAAUAGAGGUCUGCUUUACUAUCGACACAUUUUUAAUAGCAGUUAUUCAGUAUUCAACUGCUAACAUAGAUGCUCUUUUUUGAAAAAGUCAGCUAUUACCUAUUUCAGGACUUUUAAAAGUAAAAACUGCUAAGAAAUAAUAGUGAUGUAUACAGAUGAGUGGAAAGGUGAAUCAUAGAAUCAUUUAAGUUGGAAGAAACCUUUAGGAUCAUCAAGUCCAACCAUUAACACAGCACUACAGAGUCCACCACUAAACCAUAUCACUCAGCACCACAUCUACACAUCUUUUAAAUCCUUCCAGGGAUGGUGACUCUACCACUUCCUUGGGCAGCCUGUUCAGGGCUUGACAACCCUUUUGGUGAAGAAAAUUUCCCUAAUAUUCAAUCUAAAUCGUCCCUGGCACAACCAGAGGCCAUUUAUUCUUGCUGCCCUGGCAAGUGCUGUCCCACUGUGCGAGGCAGCAGCUAAGGAUGACAAAAUAUCUGGAGCUGUGCAGAUUUUAUAUAUUUUUACCUUUAGACUCUUUCAACUGUGGAAAGCGUAUGAACUCCCAACUGUAAAUCAAAACCUUCUUCCUGAGUGUAGCUCCACAUGUCCUCUCUUGUAUGUGAGCUUUUUUUAGUUUUCAUGAGGCUAUGAAGUGUGCCUCUCAAUGCAGUCACACAGAUAAAUCCAACUUCCUUAUGCUUUGAUUUUAAACAUCAUGACUGAGGAGGGCCAGCAGGAGAAAACUACAGUUCUUACGAUGGAGCACCAAGCUUCUCUGCAUCACAGGAGAAGGCACUUAUCCCAUGGUUCCUGAGGCAUUUGAAGAAAAAUGGGGCAAUAUUGUCAGAGGUCCAGAAGUUUGUACUUUUUACAAUCAGAAAUAUGUCAGGACUCCUGUAUUUUUACCUCUUCAUUAAGUAAUUUGUUAGUAAAAGUUCUCAUGAUGA